UACGUAGGGCGCAAGCGUUGUCCGGAAUUAUUGGGCGUAAAGAGCUCGUAGGCGGCUCGUCGCGUCGACCGUGAAAACCAGCAGCUUAACCUGCUGGCUUGGCGGGUUGAUACGGGCGGGCUAGAGUUCGGUAGGGGAGGACUGGAAUUCCUGGUGUAGCGGUGAAAUGCGCAGAUAUCAGGAGGAACACCGGUGGCGAAGGCGGGUCUCUGGGCCGAUACUGACGCUGAGGAGCGGAAAGCGUGGGGAGCGAACAGG
rnacentral:rRNA from 1 species